AGUAUCCACACAGAAAUCGGUACUCUUUUGCUACAAUUUUCAUUCCGGAUUCAAAAAAUAAAAAUAAUUGGUUUUGUUGGCGAUGAUCUCGUAGAACGAUAAAGAAUCAUGCAUAGUACACACGCAGAGCCUUCAGAAUUCUUUUAAAACGAUCGCUCAAAGACUAAUAACACGGCCUGCGAUAUUCGACGGGUAAGGAAAGGGGGUAUGAAAUUCUCCUCGAAGGAAAAGUGGAUUAAUACCCCAAGGACCGGUUUAAGGUGAAUGAAUCUUUCUUUGGGAUGAAUCGACACAAAGAAGAUGUAUGGGUAUUAAUGUAUGGUAACCUCUGGAACUGGUCUUGUUGUCGAUGCGAGCGCCAACCAGUUUGUCUACGUUCAGUCGCUUUACAAAAUUCCUGAAGGGUAAGGUGAGUCGUCUUUACCCCCUAUACUAGUCCCCGUUUGCAGGAAAUUGAUGUUUUGCGGGAGGGAAAUUAUACGGAUCUAUUUUUUGAAUUUUAUUUACCUGCGAAUUGACUGAUGACUCUGUCACAGGGUAAGUGUGAAUUGCAGUUUCUUCCCUCAGAAAGAGGAAAGCAAAUUUUGAUCUUUGAGAACUACAGGUAUAAUCUAAAACGAAUGAGUAAAAAGGGGAAAGCAAAGUGGAUCUGUGGAACGAAGGUGAAAUCGAAGUGUAGUGCGAUUGUUUGGUUAAUUGAUGGCGUUUUUCAUUCUCGAUCUGGUCGCCACAACCACGAAACAGAUGAAAAAUUCAUCGAGAGGAAAAAACUGAUGAUGAGCAUGAAAAAGGCAGCUGUUAGAGAUGUUACCGUUCCUUUAAAGACAAUCUACGAAAAAGAAAUAGCCAAAGCAGCAGUUUCAUUCGAAGCAACUGCCAAUUUGCCACAAUUUCAAAACAUCAGAAAAUGUUUGAUCAAAUCUCGGAAUUCUGCUGUGCCAAAACUGCCAACAGGUGAUGAUGUAAAAUUAUUAUUAAAUCCUCAAAGGAAAACAGAAAAUGGAAAAAAGUUUCUUUUAGCAGAUAGCAGUGAAGAGAAAACUAAAUUACCGUGAACGAGGAAAGGGGAAUCGCCUCAUUUUAGGAAAACUUCACUACAGUCAACUACAGCACGAUCGUCUGUCUUCUGCUUUAAUUUGGAAGCUUGCCAAAACAGGAAUGAAACAAAUAUAUUCUCCUCGUUUCCUCUUUUACUCUAAAGAGGGCGCCACACAAGCAAGCAAUUCUUACUUGAGUUUGAACUUGAUGGAGCUGUGGUUUUUUUAACUUUUUUUUAUUGCGAUAAGUUAUCAGCUGUGUAAUUCUAAAUGGUACUAAUUAGAAUUAUUUUACAAAGUAAAAACGGUCAUCGUGUUGUGUUCGCAAUGAUUUUUUGAAUUGUGAAAUGGAUGCGAACAACUUUGCCACAAUGCGAGUAACUUAUGAAACUCUACCUCCUGAAUUUGAGAACGAAAUAGUGGAGAGCAAUGAAAAUUCUGUUUUAAUACGAAGCAACUUGAAAUCUUUGAUGGAUAUAAAUACUUGGACUCAAAAAUUUGGAAUGAUUACGAAUACGAAAUGGAAUUCUAGAAGCUCUCAACCUCUUGGCAGAAAAUUUGUUUGCAAAAAAAUAUUCAUUUGCAAACAUAGCUCCUUUGGAAAGUCACCUCCUGGAACUCUCAAAAGGAGCAUGACGAAAAACAAAGGUUGCAAGGCUACAAUUCAGGCAAAAAUAAGAGUAAACAGUGCAUCAACCAGAAGGAGAGAUACAUAUGUUCGUGUAAGUUUAUUGCUUUUG
rnacentral:misc_RNA from 1 species